rnacentral:rRNA from 1 species
UAGAGUUUGAUCAUGGCUCAGGAUGAACGCUAGCGGCAGGCUUAAUACAUGCAAGUCGUGGGGCAGCAUGGUGGUAGCAAUACCACUGAUGGCGACCGGCAAACGGGUGCGGAACACGUACGCAAUCUACCCAGAACUGGCGAAUAGCCCUCCGAAAGGAGGAUUAAUACGCCGUAACAUUAUAAAGUGGCAUCACUUAAUAAUUAAAGCUCCGGCGGUUUUGGAUGAGCGUGCGCCCCAUUAGGUAGUUGGUUGAGGUAAUGGCUCACCAAGCCUGCGAUGGGUAACUGGUGUGAGAGCACGACCAGUCACACGGGCACUGAGACACGGGCCCGACUCCUACGGGAGGCAGCAGUAAGGAAUAUUGGUCAAUGGACGCAAGUCUGAACCAGCCAUGCCGCGUGGAGGAUGAAGGCCCUCUGGGUUGUAAACUUCUUUUAUGGGGGACGAAAUCACUUAUUCUUAAGUGUCUGACGGUACCCCAGGAAUAAGCACCGACUAACUCCGUGCCAGCAGCCGCGGUAAUACGGAGGGUGCAAGCGUUAUCCGGAUUCACUGGGUUUAAAGGGUGCGUAGGAGGGUGAGUAAGUCAGUGGUGAAAUCUUCGAGCUUAACUCGGAAACUGCCGUUGAUACUACUUGUCUUGAAUAUCGUGGAGGUGGGCGGAAUAUGUCAUGUAGCGGUUGAAAUGCUUAGAUACGACAUAGAAACACCAAAUUGCGAAAGCAGCUCGCUACACGAAUAUUUGACUUCUGAGGCACGAAAGCGUGGGGAUCAAACAAGGAUUAAAUACCCUUGGUUAGUUCACGCCCUAAACUUAUGGGAUAUCUCGACCAUACGCGAUUACAUGGUGUUGUGUCUGAGCGAAAGGCAUUUAGUAUCCCAACCUUGGGAAGGUACGACCGGCAGGUUGAAACYUCAAUGGAWUUGGCGGGGGUCCSCMCAAGCGGUGCGARCWUGUGGUUUAAUUCGAUGAUACGCGAGGAACCUUACCUGGGGCUAGAAUGCUGGUGGACCGUGGGUGAAAGCUCACUUUGUAGCAAUACACCGCCAGUAAGGUGCUGCAUGGCUGUCGUCAGCUCGUGCCGUGAGGUGUUGGGUUAAGUCCCGCAACGAGCGCAACCCCCAUCACUAGUUGCCAUCAGGUAACGCUGGGAACUCUAGUGAAACUGCCGUCGUAAGACGCGAGGAAGGAGGGGAUGAUGUCGAGUCAUCAUGGCCUUUAUGCCCAGGGCUACACACGUGCUACAAUGGGAGGGACAAAGAGCUGCCACUUAGCGAUAAGGAGCCAAUCUCAAAAACCCUCUCUCAGUUCAGAUCGCAGUCUGCAACUCGACUGCGUGAAGCUGGAAUCGCUAGUAACCGUAUAUCAGCAAUGAUACGGUGAAUACGUUCCCGGACCUUGCACACACCGCCCGUCAAGCCAUGGAAGCCGGGUGUACCUAAAGUCGGUAACCGAGAGGAGCCGCCUAGGGUAAAACUGGUAACUGGGGCUAAGUCGUAACAAGGUAGCCGUA